AGAAAUUUGAUUGGACACAAAAUUAAAAAAAGAAUUAAACAUUUUUGAAACUGAUGUCUAAAAUAAUUCAUACGCAUUUAUGUGGCUCUAUAUCAUCUCGUAAAAUAAGAACUUUAAAAUAAAAUAAUUUCUAAAUAUAGUAAGUGUGCAUUGAAACAAAAUGAGAAAUAUACACGACCAUUCAAGCUGAAGAUAGUGAAGUUGGUGAAGCCCACCGGAGACUCGCCGGAAUUUCGCCGGAGAAGUGAUUGUAAGAGAGAUUGAGCUCAAACAGGUUCGAGAUGUUUCUCUGUACGCCGCCGGAGAACAAAUUUGCCGGUGAUUUGUCCAUAUAGCUGGUUGCCGGAACCAUAAAAGAUUUGUCAAGUUCGAGAUUUCCGGCUGAAUUUAGCCGGAAAAUCCACCUUUCUUUCAAUCUCAUUUCUUUCUUAAGGUUUCACUUUGUCAAUUAUCAAAUUCCAACCAAAUAAACUCUGAAUGGAUAAUUUAGGAUUUGAAAUUUGGUAAAUUUGUUCCAUCAUAUUAGUGACUAUGAAAUGAUUUACCAGUAGGUAAUUUUGAUCCCUGA